CUGGGAUAUCCUGCCAUAGAGGUGGGGCAGCCUUCGUUUUCAUUCUGAGUGUAGAAUCUUUCAUGAAUUUAUUCAUUAAUUUUUAAAAAGCAAUUUAUUGAGUUCCUGUGCUUCAAUCUAACAGGGAAGAUAGACAAUUAAAUGACUACAACACAAAAUGAAAAUUGUUAUAAAUGAGAAGCACAGGGAAUUAUGGGAGCUCACAGGAGGCCCGCCAACUAAAAGGGUGGAAAAAACUUUCUGAACAACUUUUAAGCUGACUCCUGAAGAAUGAGGAGGACUUAUUUAAGCAAGUGUGGGGUGUUGGGGAUGGGAGACAGGGGUAAUUGUGUGUGUGUGUGUCUGUGUUCAGUGUGAGAAAGCAAGAAAGAAUGUUUCAAGAAUAAGACAAUGGCAUGCGUGAAGCCGAAGUAAAGAAAGCACAGAGAUUUUAAGAAAUUGCAAGGGCUGAGUAUGGCUAGAAUAUAGCAUACGAUGGGGAGAUGGACACACUGAGAGAAGAACUGGACAGGCACUGGGGAGCCACUGAAAAUUCUUAAGCAGAAGACCAAGGCAACUAGACACCAGCCAUCAAGAGCUGCUUAUGCGGGAGGCCCUCGGUGACUCACUUGCUCCUACUUCCCUGGGACUAUCUUCCUCAUACCACCUGCAGACCCAGAAGUCAAGCCUGUAGGAUGAAACCUGUCCAUCCACGAGAUGGGAAGCUGCCAGUAAUGAUCGAAGAGGCACAGUCAAUACUUGCCCUGACUUCUUUCUUGCGUGAGAUCCAAGAACCCUCUCCUGAGCUCUGGAUGCGGACCCCUUUUCUGGUAACACCAGCAACCUAGGCAGCCAGCAACCUAAGUUUUGCCUCUGCCAGUCAGCAUCAAGGGCUGAGCCUAGGU
rnacentral:lncRNA from 10 species